rnacentral:lncRNA from 1 species
UUUGUUUUUUGUUGUGGGUUUGCUGGAUGAGUGCUUCUGGCUGUCAUGUUUUGGAUUCUUUUCAUUUUUGUUUGUCUUGGAGAUAACUUAGGUUCUGUAUGAUACUAUGGAGUUAUUUGGGUUUCCAUGAAGACAGGCUGAUGCUUCUGUAGCAUGUUGCUUGCCUCUUUUAGGAGGCAACUUUGUUGUUCCAUUCAAUUAACUUGGAUAGAAGCUGGAUGGGGUCCUCCCAUCUUCUCUUACAUAUAUAUAAAGUGAUAUCUGAUAUUAUCUCAGAAUUCAUUCUCAAAUCCUCUCUAUGGCUUGACAAAAUUUUUGUCAGAAGAAUUCCUCUUGUUACCUCUCCACCAUUUCUGUGCCUCCCCCUUUUUAGGCCUACAAAAGCAGCAAGACUAUGCAAAAAGUAAAAUUUGUAUUUAUCAUUUACUCAUGAAUCAAUUAUAGUUUUUUGAAGGCCAAAGGUAAAAGAACCAAAAAAUGCAUAACACUAAACAAAGAUAUUCACGAUAUGUAUAGC